rnacentral:rRNA from 1 species
UGCGUAGGCGGACUGACAGGUCGGAUGUGAAAACCCCACGGCUUAACCGGGGGCCUGCAUUCGAAACCGUCAGUCUUGAGUACGGGAGAGGAGAGCGGAAUUCCUGGUGUAGCGGUGAAAUGCGUAGAUAUCAGGAAGAACACCGGUGGCGAAGGCGGCUCUCUGGCCCGAUACUGACGCUCAGGCACGAAGGCUAGGGGAGCAAACA